rnacentral:lncRNA from 1 species
AAGAGAAUUUUUUUAUUCAUAAGAACAUAAAUCAGCGUCUGCUUAUUAUGUUUAUAUCUACUCCUUUCGGAAACAUACAUGUAAGUAAAAAAAUAUGUGCUUAUAUCUAGUUUCAAAUUUUAUAUUGUAUUGUAACUACAUUGUUCAUUUUUGAUUUACAGGUUUCCUAAAGCUAGCAAAUGAAAAUGUUUAAAGAAGUUAAUGGUGAAAGCUUCAGACUCUUCCAACAGCAAAACAUUUUGACAUGGGGCAGUCACAUAUAGGCAUCUUUUUAAUGAACUGAAUGUUCAUUAUUGCUUGAUAUCUAACUGUAGUUAGUAUUUGUGAUGGUAAGACCAUGAUUACCACAUUAAUAUCCUUGGUGCAGUGUUACUCGUGCGAAUUUGACAUGUAUAGCUUAUGGUCAACGUGUAUGAUUGGGUUGAAUUAUUUUAUUGUUGUGCUGAUUAUGUGUAUAUUUCAUGUUUCCUACUUUU